AAACUCCUUCGGGGAUAGGUGAAAUUCCUUACCGGCGGUAGGCAGCAUAAGCUGCGAGCCCGCGAGCCGGCUCAGUCGGCAGAUCCGGUGCGCCAGAAGGCAAGUCCGGAGCCGACAGUGACAGUCUGGAUGGGAGAAGGAGGGC
rnacentral:ncRNA from 2 species